rnacentral:lncRNA from 1 species
GGAAGUAUUAGUACUUUAACAAGAGUAUCGAUAUUUUGAUUUUUACUAAAUUUUUCUAAAAUUUCGAAGCUUAAACUGGUAUCGAUACUAGGCAGGGGUAUCGAUACUUGAGACAAGGUACUGAUACCUUAUGCAUAGUACCGAUACUUGGCAUUAUUUUAUACAUAUAAAUGACGAAAUAAAUUUUCACUCGAAAAUUUAUCUAAUUUUUAUACAAAAUCAGGUCGAC